rnacentral:rRNA from 1 species
GGCUUAGAGUUUGCAUAAGAAAUCCCAUUGAACGCUGGCGGCAGGCCUAACACCCCUUCAGUCGAGCGGAUGAGGGUAGCUUGCUACCUGAUUCAGCGGCGGACGGGUGAGUAAUGCCUAGGAAUCUGCCCGAUAGUGGGGGACAACGUUUCGAAAGGAACGCUAAUACCGCAUACGUCCUACGGGAGAAAGUGGGGGAUCUUCGGACCUCACGCUAUCGGAUGAGCCUAGGUCGGAUUAGCUAGUUGGUGAGGUAAUGGCUCACCAAGGCGACGAUCCGUAACUGGUCUGAGAGGAUGAUCAGUCACACUGGGACUGAGACACGGCCCAGACUCCUACGGGAGGCAGCAGUGGGGAAUAUUGGACAAUGGGGGAAACCCUGAUCCAGCAAUGCCGCGUGAGUGAAGAAGGCCUUAGGGUUGUAAAGCUCUUUCGCCCGCGAAGAUAAUGACGGUAGCGGGAGAAGAAGCCCCGGCUAACUCCGUGCCAGCAGCCGCGGUAAUACGAAGCCG